GUCCACGCCCUAAACGAUGUCGACUAGUUGUCGGGUCUUUACAGACUUGGUAACGCAGCUAACGCGUGAAGUCGACCGCCUGGGGAGUACGGUCGCAAGAUUAAAACUCAAAGGAAUUGACGGGGACCCGCACAAGCGGUGGAUGAUGUGGAUUAAUUCGAUGCAACGCGAAAAACCUUACCUACCCUUGACAUGGCAGGGACGAGGCAGAGAUGUCUCGGUGCCCGAAAGGGAACCUGCACACAGGUGCUGCAUGGCUGUCGU
rnacentral:rRNA from 1 species